rnacentral:lncRNA from 1 species
UACUGGAAUAUUUCGCAAGAGAUUUUGUUAUCCCCCUGAGUGGAAUGAGCAGAACCAAUUGGACAUUUUAUACAGCAACAGAAAUAUUUGAAAAAUGACUUGAGCAUGUCCACUUCCAGAGAAAGAACUGGGGAACUCACUUACCCUCAGUUCCACCUGGAUGUGCAAUGCCAGCAUUUGCAUAGGGUCCACAGAUCAUAGUGAUGGUGUCCCAGACCAAGGUAGGGUGUUCUACUUGACAGAGAAACUAACUUUUAUUUUUUA